rnacentral:misc_RNA from 1 species
GUGCCUUAGAGCGACCUGCGGAGCCGGGAUUAUUGUGAAGGGGUAGGAAACGUUGGGCGAUGGAGCUAACGUUGUAAUUUCAACGGCGAUGGUCUUGGUGUUGAGAUUCCUGGCACCUUUACAUUGCUUUCUCUGCCACUGAUGCCAAGAGAUGCGCUAGAGAAGAGAAGUCCAUGUCCCUCCUGCGCACAAAAUUCUAUUAAUUCAUCUGCAGGAAGCAAGCGAGGUUUAAACUGAAAGCUGCAAGUAUAUUUAUGGA